UACGUAGGGUGCAAGCGUUGUCCGGAAUUAUUGGGCGUAAAGAGCUCGUAGGCGGUUUGUCGCGUCGGCUGUGAAAACCUGGGGCUCAACCCCGGGCCUGCAGCCGAUACGGGCAAACUAGAAUUCGGUGAGGGGAGACUGGAAUUCCUGGUGUAGCGGUGAAAUGCGUAGAUAUUGGGAGGAACACCGGUGGCGAAGGCGGCCCUCUGGACCGGUACUGACGCUGAUGCGCGAAAGCGUGGGGAGCAAACGGG
rnacentral:rRNA from 1 species